rnacentral:rRNA from 1 species
UACGGAGACAUAAGGUCUCUUUACUAAAGGUAGCUUCGGCUUCCGCAUUGGGAGGGGCCCGCGGCCCAUUAGCUAGUUGGUGGGGUCAAGGCCUACCAAGGCAACGAUGGGUAGCUGGUCUGAGAGGACGAUCAGCCACACUGGGACUGAGACACGGCCCAGACUCCUACGGGAGGCAGCAGUGGGGAAUCUUGCGCAAUGCGCGAAAGCGUGACGCAGCAACACCGCGUGAGGGAAGACGGCCUUAGGGUUGUAAACCUCUUUCAGAUGGGACGAAGGUGAUGCGGUGAAUAGCCGAUGUCAUUGACGGUACCGUCAGAAGAAGCUCCGGCUAACUACGUGA